CCUACGGGGGGCAGCAGUGAGGAAUAUUGGUCAAUGGACGAGAGUCUGAACCAGCCAAGUAGCGUGAAGGAUGACUGCCCUACGGGUUGUAAACUUCUUUUAUAUGGGAAUAAAAUGAUCCACGUGUGGGAUUUUGUAUGUACCAUAUGAAUAAGGAUCGGCUAACUCCGUGCCAGCAGCCGCGGUAAUACGGAGGAUCCGAGCGUUAUCCGGAUUUAUUGGGUUUAAAGGGAGCGUAGGUGGAUUGUUAAGUCAGUUGUGAAAGUUUGCGGCUCAACCGUAAAAUUGCAGUUGAAACUGGAAGUCUUGAGUACAGUAUAGGUAGGCGGAAUGCGUGGUGUAGCGGUGAAAUGCUUAGAUAUCACGAAGAACUCCGAUUGCGAAGGCAGCUCACUGGACUGCAACUGACACUGAGGCUCGAAAGUGUGGGUAUCAAACAGGAUUAGAUACCCGAGUAGUC
rnacentral:rRNA from 1 species